rnacentral:rRNA from 1 species
CCUACGGGUGGCAGCAGUGGGGGAUAUUGCACAAUGGGGGAAACCCUGAUGCAGCGACGCCGCGUGGGCGAAGAAGUAUUUCGGUAUGUAAAGCCCUAGCAGCAGGGAAGAAGAAUUGACGGUACCUGCGUACGAAGCACCGGCUAAAUACGUGCCAGCAGACGCGGUAAUACGUAUGGUGCAAGCGUUAUCCGGAUUUACUGGGUGUAAAGGGAGCGCAGGCGGCACGGCAAGCCUGUUGUGAAAGCCCGCGGCCCAACCGCGGGACUGCAUUGGGAACUACCGGGCUGGAGUGACGGAGAGGGAGGCGGAAUUCCUGGUGUAGCGGUGAAAUGCGUAGAUAUUAGGAGGAACACCAGUGGCGAAGGCGGCCUACUGGACGGUGACUGACGCUGAGGCUCGAAAGCGUGGGGAGCGAACAGGAUUAGAUACCCCUGUAGUC